CAAGGAGGGAAGCCAUGGCAGGAGCUCAAAUCAUGAUUCCAGAGGUGAGAACUGAAGCAGAAACCAUGGAGUGGACAGUAAUAGCAAUCCAAGGUAAAUGAUCUCCUCCUCACCCUGCUGAGAGAACCUGGGGACUUGGAGGGACCUGCACCUGUGCCAGCCUUACCAGUACAGACGGUGGGCCACCCUGAUGCUUUGCAAGGAGCGACGGAGCAGGAGUUCCACCAAGGGACUUUCAAGGGUCCACUCAAACUUGACAGCCUGCAGUGAAAGACCAUAACCACGAGAGGUGAUGAGAACUAUGGCCAAGACACAUCUACCCAAGUAUUACUGGGGCCAGAGGACCUCAACACACCACACACAGACCAGGAGAAGGGCACAAUGAGAAUGCAAAGGCAGAAGGCUGGCUCAUUUCAGUGGGCUAAGACUGGAUUUUUCUGCCUAAGUUCAAUGGACUCUAUUGUUCUCAAUUACUAGAUCACUUGCCUAAAGCCUGUCACUAUCAAGGUGAGGCAAAACCACUUUGGUUUGUACACACUAGCUGACUGUCUAGCAUCCAUGACUUCAGGAUGAGAGGACUACACGGAACCGCAGGAGCACUCUCAGGAGAUACGGCUGAUCGGAGCAAGAGAACAGAGACACUCACAGCAAGGGAGUCUGCUUCUGAGAAAGUCUGGCGAUGUGUUUUAGACACUCUCUGGGUGGUUCUUCAAUGUCAGUUCUGUUCUCCUCAGAAUCGGGUUUAAUGUACUCCCACCCGGCAGCUGGAAAAUCUAUCUGAAACAAAGAAGCGAUUUUUCCAUGGACUAAGCAUAGUAUGCAUGUGCAUUUAUAAUUUCAUAGUCUUUA